rnacentral:rRNA from 1 species
GAUGAACGCUGGCGGCGUGCCUAAUACAUGCAAGUCGAGCGAACGGACGAGAAGCUUGCUUCUCUGAUGUUAGCGGCGGACGGGCGAGUAACACGUGGAUAACCUACCUAUAAGACUGGGAUAACUUCGGGAAACCGGAGCUAAUACCGGAUGAUAUUUUGAACCGCAUGGUUCAAAAGUGAAAGACGGUCUUGCUGUCACUUAUAGAUGUAUCCGCGCGGCAUUAGGUAGUUGGUAAGGUAACGGCUUACCAAGGCAACGAUGCAUAGCCGACCUGAGAGGGUGAUCGGCCACACUGGAACUGAGACACGGUCCAGACUCCUACGGGAGGCAGCAGUAGGGAAUCUUCCGCAAUGGGCGAAAGCCUGACGGAGCAACGCCGCGUGAGUGAUGAAGGUCUUCGGAUCGUAAAACUCUGUUAUUAGGGAAGAACAUAUGUGUAAGUAACUGUGCACAUCUUGACGGUACCUAAUCAGAAAGCCACGGCUAACUACGUG